CAACAAUAAGGCUAUUUGGUGUGGCGUGGUAAAGGCGUGAUGGUUAAAGACACAGCAAAGGAGCCGCUCGGAGCUGUGCAUCACUGCAACACGAUCUCAGCUCCACCGUGUGUCUGGUUCCACUCACCAGGCUCUAGAGUUCACAUGCAGCUCCAGUCACUG